rnacentral:rRNA from 1 species
GAUGAACGCUAGCGACAGGCUUAACACAUGCAAGUCGAGGGGCAGCGGGGGUAGCAAUACCCGCCGGCGACCGGCGCACGGGUGAGUAACGCGUAUGCAACUUGCCUAUCAGAGGGGGAUAACCCGGCGAAAGUCGGACUAAUACCGCAUGAAGCAGGGGUCCCGCAUGGGGAUAUUUGCUAAAGAUUCAUCGCUGAUAGAUAGGCAUGCGUUCCAUUAGGCAGUUGGCGGGGUAACGGCCCACCAAACCGACGAUGGAUAGGGGUUCUGAGAGGAAGGUCCCCCACACUGGUACUGAGACACGGACCAG